rnacentral:rRNA from 1 species
AACGAACGCUGGCGGCAUGCCUAACACAUGCAAGUCGAACGAGACCUCCGGGUCUAGUGGCGCACGGGUGCGUAACGCGUGGGAACCUGCCCUUAGGUUCGGAAUAACUCCCCGAAAGGGGUGCUAAUACCGGAAAAUGUCUUCGGACCAAAGAUUUAUCGCCUUUGGUUGGCCCCGCUUUGGAUUAGCUAGUUGGUAGGGUAAAAGCCUACCAUGGCGACGAUCCAUAGCUGGUCUGAGAGGAUGUUCAUCCACGCUGGGUCUGAGACACGGCCCAGACUCCUACGGGAGGCUGCGGUGGGGAAUAUUGGACGAUUAGCGCAAGCCUGAUCCAGCAAUGCCGCGUGAGUGAUGAAGGCCUUAGGGUUGUAAAGCUCUUUUAUCCGGGAUGAUAAUGACAUUACCGGGAGAAUAAGCUCCGGCUAACUCCGUG